UAGGGAAUCUUCCACAAUGGACGCAAGUCUGAUGGAGCAACGCCGCGUGAGUGAAGAAGGUUUUCGGACCGUAAAGCUCUGUUGUUGGUGAAGAAGGAUAGAGGUAGUAACUGGCCUUUAUUUGACGGUAAUCAACCAGAAAGUCACGGCUAACUACGUGCCAGCAGCCGCGGUAAUCGUAGGUGGCAAGCGUUGUCCGGAUUUAUUGGGCGUAAAGCGAGCGCAGGCGGAAGAAUAAGUCUGAUGUGAAAGCCCUCGGCUUAACCGAGGAAUUGCAUCGGAAACUGUUUUCUUGAGUGCAGAAGAGGAGAGUAGAACUCCAUGUGUAGCGGUGGAAUGCGUAGAUAUAUGGAAGAAUACCAGUGGCGAAGGCGGCUCUCUGGUCUGCAACUGACGCUGAGGCUCGAAAGCAUGGGUAGCGAACAGGAUUAGAUACCCUGGUAGUCCAUGCCGUAAACGAUGAGUGUUAAGUGUUGGGAGGCUUCCGCCUCUCAGUGCUGCAGCUAACGCAUUAAGCACUCCGCCUGGGGAGUACGACCGCAAGGUUGAAAC
rnacentral:rRNA from 1 species